CCGCCUACUUAUGUUCCGCGUGGGGCGGGGCGCGGCGACCUUUCCGCGCGCACUCGAAACUGUAUGGAGGGGGGCCCUAUUAUUUACUUUGUACUAGCCGUUUUCCGUUUUCCUG
ensembl:ncRNA C24A1.7 ncRNA